rnacentral:rRNA from 1 species
AUGACAAGACCCAAAUAUCUUGGAGGUUUAGGGUUCAGGAAUCUUGAACUCUUUAACUUGGCACUCCUGGCACGACAGUCUUGGAGGGUGCUACAGGACCCUUCGUCUUUGAGCUCUAGGAUCCUCAAAGCGUCGUAUUACCCUGACAGGUCACUCCUAAAUGCAGAAAUUGGGUCAAGACCGUUCGACCCACCAGAGAGGGUAGCGGAACUCAUGCUACCAGCUAUGGCUGCAUGGAAUGAGCAGCUGGUUCGAUUUGUGUUCCUGCCUACGGAUGCAGAGGCGAUCUUAAGGAUCCCAGUGUGCACCAGAAAUACUGAAGAUUUCUGGGCAUGGCACCCAGAGAAGAAGGGCCGGUUUACAGUCAGUUCGGCAUAUAAGUUUAUGGUGAAAACCAAGAUAACUAGGGAAGACUGGCUUGAGGGCAGAUCGGGAUCAUCAAGUACUGACAGAGAAGAAAAUGAUUGGUCUAAAUUGUGGAGUCUGACGGUGCCGUCAAAACUGAGAAUAUUUUUGUGGCGUUUGGCUCGCCAUUCACUGCCCACAACAGACGUGUUGAGCAGACGAAACAUGGCUACCCGUGACGCAUGUCCGUUGUGUGGGACACCUGACUCAUGGCGCCAUGCCCUGAUCUCCUGUACGUCCGCGAGGUGUACGUGGGCAUUGUCAGACCCUCUGUUGGUAGCAAAAAUGGCGGAGAAUACAGAGCCAGGAGCUAAGAGCUGGCUAUUUCAGAUGUAUGAGGCCCUUGAUCACAGCACGUUCACGAGAAUGGUGGUGACCCUGUGGUCUAUUUGGUAUGCUCGGCGCCAGGCAAUACACGAAGGCGUUUUUCAGUCUCCUAUGCAAACGUCUUCCUUUGUGAACUCCUAUAUCAGUGAGCUGGAUCAAAUUGCUAAUACGGAAACCAAGCCAGUUAUGGGAAUUCAGCAUCAGGUGGGCCCAAGACAAUGGCUUCUUUCACCUAGUGGAGUGGCAAAGAUUAAUGCUGAUGGUGCAGUUGCACGCAACAUGCGCGGUGGGGCUGUCGCCGCUGUGUGCCGAGAUCACACCGGAGCUUAUUUGGGGUCCUCGGCUGUUGUCUUCCGGGACACAAGAGACCCGACAGUUUUGGAAACGUUUGCAUGCAGAGAAGCACUAUCACUUGCAGAGGAUUUACAUGUUCAGAACCUGAUGGUAGCAUCUGACUGUCAGGGAGUUGUAAAUGACAUAGUUCAUGGAACGGGAGGUCAUCACUCAGCCAUAGUCCAUGAAAUUAUGAGCCGUAGAGAUAGUUUUAAUCAGUGCUCUUUUGUCCAUGAGCGUAGGAAUCACAAUUUUGAAGCUCACAAUCUUGCCAAAUUUGCUUGUAAUUUAGCCAUAGGUAGACAUAUUUGGUUGGGUUCUCCACAUAACCCAAGGCUUGUACCUAUGAACAUUAUCGUGAAUCAAUAA